rnacentral:lncRNA from 1 species
UAUUAUGUUUGGGUACUCGGAAGCAUGCAUCGCAUUGGGAUCGAUGAUCGACUUAUGGGCCCCGGGAUCAUAGUGUAUGACGAUGCCACAACUCGAGUUUCCUAUCGAAGGAGAGUGAUCAUUUCCAUCAUCCGGUCAUUUGUCGUCGAUAUUAUCUGGGAUAUUGUCUAAAUCGAGGUCACUAAAAUCUUCAUCUUCGUGAUCAGAACAACUAUUAUUAUCGGAUCUGUAACACCCCUUACCCGAGACCGUUUUCGGAGUCGAGCAUGAGGCGUUACUUGACUUAACUUAAAAGUUCGGGGCAUAAAAUUUUACUUUUGAAAUUAAUUUCACUAUUCACAACAAAUUUGUCCACCUGCGCAAUAGUUACUAAAUUAAUUAUAAAUCUAGCUACAAAACUCAAAAUUUAGAUCUGUAAAUUUUCCCUGAAACUAGACUCAUAUAUAUUUUUAC